AUAGAAUUCUGGGAGUUGUAGGGCGUCAGCAUUGGGAGGGGGGGGGGCUAGGUUUUAAGAUUAUUGCACUAAAGUGUGGAUUGCAGGGAAUAAAUAGGGAAUUUCAAACGUUAGGCCGGCCACAAUAGCUCGAUUGGAAAAAUUAAACAAAUUGGCAACAUUUUCAGUUCAGUUAUUUGGCUUAAAAUAUUGAAUUAAAUUAGAAUUCCCGGCAAUGUGCACAUAUUGUAGUCUACCCAGUGGGGGCUCGUCCAUAGGGGCAGCACCCCACCAAUUAUGGGAGGGGGGGGCAUGUAUUUGCAGUAGGUUAGAAACACUAAGAUUCUUUUUCUGGAGGGGAGGGUGGGGAAAAGUGAGAAUAUUCUGUAAUAGGUUUCAGCUCUGCAAAACCCCUCCACACUCAUUGGGAGCGGUUUGGAGGAGCUUGAAACAAUGGAGCUGGAUUGAAAUCUGCCGUUUCAGAAGUUGUUGCACAUGCCUAGUCUUCUUUGAGAAGGAAUUUUAGGAACAUCCAUUAAGAUGCCAUUCGGGCAGCAGAGCCAGCUGCCCAUGAGUGGAGGGAUACUAUUGUCCUGUCUAUUCUGGGGCCAUAAUUGGCUGAUAGCAUCAGGGGGUUGGGUUACAGUGCUUACAGCAGAGAGACUCAAGAAGUCAUCUUGGAAGAAACACAGGGAGAGCUCAUAAG